CUGGCAGUCAGAGGCGAUGAAGGACGUGCUAAUCUGCGAUAAGCGUCGGUGAGGUGAUAUGAACCGUUAUAACCGGCGAUUUCCGAAUGGGGAAACCCAGUGUGUUUCGACACACUAUCAUUAACUGAAUCCAUAGGUUAAUGAGGCGAACCGGGGGAACUGAAACAUCUAAGUACCCCGAGGAAAAGAAAUCAACCGAGAUUCCCCCAGUAGCGGCGAGCGAACGGGGAGGAGCCCAGAGCCUGAAUCAGUGUGUGUGUUAGUGGAAGCGUCUGGAAAGGCGCGCGAUACAGGGUGACAGCCCCGUACACAAAAAUGCACAUACUGUGAGCUCGAUGAGUAGGGCGGGACACGUGGUAUCCUGUCUGAAUAUGGGGGGACCAUCCUCCAAGGCUAAAUACUCCUGACUGACCGAUAGUGAACCAGUACCGUGAGGGAAAGGCGAAAAGAACCCCGGCGAGGGGAGUGAAAAAGAACCUGAAACCGUGUACGUACAAGCAGUGGGAGCCUCUUAAUGGGGUGACUGCGUACCUUUUGUAUAAUGGGUCAGCGACUUAUAUUCUGUAGCAAGGUUAACCGAAUAGGGGAGCCGAAGGGAAACCGAGUCUUAACUGGGCGUUAAGUUGCAGGGUAUAGACCCGAAACCCGGUGAUCUAGCCAUGGGCAGGUUGAAGGUUGGGUAACACUAACUGGAGGACCGAACCGACUAAUGUUGAAAAAUUAGCGGAUGACUUGUGGCUGGGGGUGAAAGGCCAAUCAAACCGGGAGAUAGCUGGUUCUCCCCGAAAGCUAUUUAGGUAGCGCCUCGUGAAUUCAUCUCCGGGGGUAGAGCACUGUUUCGGCAAGGGGGUCAUCCCGACUUACCAACCCGAUGCAAACUGCGAAUACCGGAGAAUGUUAUCACGGGAGACACACGGCGGGUGCUAACGUCCGUCGUGAAGAGGGAAACAACCCAGACCGCCAGCUAAGGUCCCAAAGUCAUGGUUAAGUGGGAAACGAUGUGGGAAGGCCCAGACAGCCAGGAUGUUGGCUUAGAAGCAGCCAUCAUUUAAAGAAAGCGUAAUAGCUCACUGGUCGAGUCGGCCUGCGCGGAAGAUGUAACGGGGCUAAACCAUGCACCGAAGCUGCGGCAGCGACGCUUAUGCGUUGUUGGGUAGGGGAGCGUUCUGUAAGCCUGUGAAGGUGGCCUGUGAGGGUUGCUGGAGGUAUCAGAAGUGCGAAUGCUGACAUAAGUAACGAUAAAGCGGGUGAAAAGCCCGCUCGCCGGAAGACCAAGGGUUCCUGUCCAACGUUAAUCGGGGCAGGGUGAGUCGACCCCUAAGGCGAGGCCGAAAGGCGUAGUCGAUGGGAAACAGGUUAAUAUUCCUGUACUUGGUGUUACUGCGAAGGGGGGACGGAGAAGGCUAUGUUGGCCGGGCGACGGUUGUCCCGGUUUAAGCGUGUAGGCUGGUUUUCCAGGCAAAUCCGGAAAAUCAAGGCUGAGGCGUGAUGACGAGGCACUACGGUGCUGAAGCGACAAAUGCCCUGCUUCCAGGAAAAGCCUCUAAGCAUCAGGUAACAUUAAAUCGUACCCCAAACCGACACAGGUGGUCAGGUAGAGAAUACCAAGGCGCUUGAGAGAACUCGGGUGAAGGAACUAGGCAAAAUGGUGCCGUAACUUCGGGAGAAGGCACGCUGAUAUGUAGGUGAAGCGACUUGCUCGUGGAGCUGAAAUCAGUCGAAGAUACCAGCUGGCUGCAACUGUUUAUUAAAAACACAGCACUGUGCAAACACGAAAGUGGACGUAUACGGUGUGACGCCUGCCCGGUGCCGGAAGGUUAAUUGAUGGGGUUAGCGGUAACGCGAAGCUCUUGAUCGAAGCCCCGGUAAACGGCGGCCGUAACUAUAACGGUCCUAAGGUAGCGAAAUUCCUUGUCGGGUAAGUUCCGACCUGCACGAAUGGCGUAAUGAUGGCCAGGCUGUCUCCACCCGAGACUCAGUGAAAUUGAACUCGCUGUGAAGAUGCAGUGUACCCGCGGCAAGACGGAAAGACCCCGUGAACCUUUACUAUAGCUUGACACUGAACAUUGAGCCUUGAUGUGUAGGAUAGGUGGGAGGCUUUGAAGUGUGGACGCCAGUCUGCAUGGAGCCGACCUUGAAAUACCACCCUUUAAUGUUUGAUGUUCUAACGUGGGCCCCUUACCGGGGUUGCGGACAGUGUCUGGUGGGUAGUUUGACUGGGGCGGUCUCCUCCUAAAGAGUAACGGAGGAGCACGAAGGUUGGCUAAUCCUGGUCGGACAUCAGGAGGUUAGUGCAAUGGCAUAAGCCAGCUUGACUGCGAGCGUGACGGCGCGAGCAGGUGCGAAAGCAGGUCAUAGUGAUCCGGUGGUUCUGAAUGGAAGGGCCAUCGCUCAACGGAUAAAAGGUACUCCGGGGAUAACAGGCUGAUACCGCCCAAGAGUUCAUAUCGACGGCGGUGUUUGGCACCUCGAUGUCGGCUCAUCACAUCCUGGGGCUGAAGUAGGUCCCAAGGGUAUGGCUGUUCGCCAUUUAAAGUGGUACGCGAGCUGGGUUUAGAACGUCGUGAGACAGUUCGGUCCCUAUCUGCCGUGGGCGCUGGAGAACUGAGGGGGGCUGCUCCUAGUACGAGAGGACCGGAGUGGACGCAUCACUGGUGUUCGGGUUGUCAUGCCAAUGGCACUGCCCGGUAGCUAAAUGCGGAAGAGAUAAGUGCUGAAAGCAUCUAAGCACGAAACUUGCCCCGAGAUGAGUUCUCCCUGACUCCUUGAGAGUCCUGAAGGAACGUUGAAGA
rnacentral:rRNA from 1 species